GAAGCACCCCCAGGAAGGAAAAUUAUGACUGGAAAUUUUCAGAAAAUUGUACCUCUUCUAAAUGAUGGAGUUCAAGAAAUUAGAAAAGCAGUCCAGAGAUUAUUCAGUGUUAUAAAUUAUAAAGCAACACCUGUUGUUUAGCAACCUUCCAUUUUUGUAAAAUUUUCAAAACCGAAAUUUGUCUUAUGAAGUAUCAAAAUUGCUAUUAAAUAUGUUUAUAUUAUUAUAUACUUUUUAUAACUUAUAACAGUUGUGCAGUUUUAAAUAUAAUAUUACAAAUAAUGCACAGUAUUAACCCCAAGUCUAUGCAAAGGCAGCAAAAGUAUUGAAUCAGGUAUGCAUAAUUUUUAAUAACAAAAUUUUGCAACAUAAGAAAAAGUUAUAGCUAAACUCCAUCAAACUUUAUUACAUGCUCCUAUAUCACAUAAAUACAAUUUAUUUAUUUAUUUUUCUCUCUUUGCGAGAAAGACCUUGGUGCUGACAGAGGAUUUGCCAAGGAGGGGAAAAAGAAAAAGAACAUUUGAUUCCGUACAAUUAAAUUCCCAUAAAUCCAGAAGAUAAAGAUGUAGGAAAAGAUUUUUACUAAUGUUUUAUGUGUACAUAUAUAUAUUUAUGUAUAUAUAUUAGAGCAAAUUUAUAAGGGAAAAUGAACUAUAGCACUAAUAUUUAACAAGCUUUUGUAUACAACGACAAUUUGUUUUCUUUUCCGUAUUCAAGUCCCAUUUCACAUUGUUCAAUUUUUAUAUUUCUGAAAAUAAACAUAAAAGACAUUUUAGAAAACAGCAAAGACCUUAAACAUAUGUUAAAACUAACAAACUGAUUAAAAAAAAAAAAAAGAAAGAAAGAAAGAAUUUACACAAAAUUAGAUA